rnacentral:rRNA from 1 species
CCUACGGUGUGCAGCAGUAGGGAAUAUUGCUCAAUGGGGGAAACCCUGAAGCAGCAACGCCGCGUGGAGGAUGAAGGUUUUCGGAUUGUAAACUCAUUUUGGUAGAGAAGAUAAUGACGGUAUCUAACGAAUAAGCACCGGCUAACUCCGUGCCAGCAGCCGCGGUAAUACGGAGGGUGCAAGCGUUACUCGGAAUCACUUGGCGGAAAGAGCGCGUAGGCGGGAUGGCAAGUCAGAUGUGAAAUCAUCUGGCUUAACCAUAGAACUGCAUUUGAAACUGUUAUUAUUGAGGAUGGGAGAGGUAGGUGGAAUGCUUGGUGUAGGGGUAAAAUCGGUAGAGAUCAAGAGGA